UCAGCGGCUCGCCUGCUGCCUUCAGAGUGCAAAAUUGAUUCAGCUUCUGUUGAUCGGUGAAAAAUGCUGACCUGACAUGCCAAGACCUUCAGUACAUGACUAAAAGGGUAGAGAGGAAGUGGAAGCAAAGCUGCAGGAAGAUGCUUGCAGGAGAUAAAAGACAGUUUCACUGUGGAUCACAAAUAGAAACUCUAUGAGAAGGCUCUUCUGGAGAUAGCAUGAUGAUGAUGAUGACGACGGCUACGGUGAUAAUAAUAAUAUCACUUUCCUGGCUACAAGAAUAGGCAAACUCUUAAGAUAUGAUGUUCUAUUAAUUCAAGAACAGAGCAAAGCAAAGCAUGCUUAAUUUGCAUAUCUUAAAGCUCUAUUACAUGACAGAAGCAGCCCAUUCACUUUUAGCUGUUCACAAUUCUGUUCAGGGGUUACCUCUGUGAUGACUUUUCCUUCUGAUUCCCUAAAUACCACUAUUAUUAUAUCGCAUCAUACUGUAAAAUACAAGUCCUGUGAAGACAGAACUGUGCUAUGUCCUCUUCUUAUUUGCAUCAAUGGACUGCUGAGAAAAAACUAGACCCUGAAGAGAGCAGACUGAACAAAUUCUACUAAGUCCUAGACAUAGGGUCACUUUGCCCAUGAAGACUCACAAUUUUCAAAAGACCCUGGGACAUAUAUGAUACCAUUGGUGCUGCUCUUAGAGUGAAGAAACUGGGAUUUGUCCAAGGCCACACAGAGCCUGUGAAGGCCAGAGCCAGGGUGAGUGAAUGCACCACGUGUAUAUACAAAUGGUACAGGGUGAGCGAAUGUACCACGAGUAUGUAUAAAUGGUACAGUUCAGCUCAGGCAUGGACGACAGAGAAGACAUGUUGUGUACAUCAAAAGAAAAGAAAUGAGGAGAAGAGAGAUGAAGGAACUAAGAAGCAGAGGAAAGGGAAACUGGGAAGAAAAAAGUUCAUUAUUCUACGAAGAGAAACCGGACUUGUAUGAUUUUAGCAAUGCAACCAUUUCUGGAGACUUCACUAUCUAGUGUAACCUGUACUUUGGUAAGUGAUAUUAUAUUUUCAACUACACUAAAAUUUUCCUCCUUUAGCUACAGCAAAGUAAACAAUCUAUUCUGUAAAACAUUUAUAAUUUAAACCUUUAAAGAAGAAAAUGGCAAAUUAGUCAACGUCUGAAUUACACACUACUUUGAGAAGUAUAGAUUGAUUGCUUCAAGAAAAUACUGCAAUGUAACAAGUUUUAAUUAAAAUUAUACUGAAAGAGUAUUUCC
ensembl:antisense Peak1os pseudopodium-enriched atypical kinase 1, opposite strand